AUCACUUGAGAUCGUCCAUCAGAAGUGUUAACAUAGAUCUCUAUGCCGAUGAGGAUUUGGGCAACACACCUAUGAACGAAGAAGUGAAGGAGGAGAUUGUAGUUUACCUAUUCCAGUGAAGGGCAAGAUAGAGACUUUAAAUCAAGCAUUAGAUAUCUUUGGGAUGAAUGUGAUUGUGGAAGCAAGUUUUUUGUUAUGACCAAGCAAAAAUAACAUCACAUAUCAAGGAUCGUGAUCUCCGAUCCAGAAAUUUUGCCAACCAGUUAGAAGCGGCUACCUUGGAACAAAUAGUUCUAAUUCCGUAUAAUACUGGGUAAAUAAAUAAGAUUAACACAUUAUUAUGUUUUUCAUUGAGGUUAAAUGUAUACUCACAUUGAAGAUGUUUAUUGUAGUUUUCAUUGGAUGUUGCAUGUCAUCGAUCUUCGAGAGAACUGUGUUUAUGUUUUGGACUCUCUUCAAAAGGAUUAAAAACAUGGCAAGCUAAGCAUGAUUUACAACA